CCUACGGGAGGCAGCAGUGAGGAAUAUUGGUCAAUGGACGAGAGUCUGAACCAGCCAAGUAGCGUGAAGGAUGACUGCCCUAUGGGUUGUAAACUUCUUUUAUAUGGGAAUAAAACGUUCCACGUGUGGGAUUUUGUAUGUACCAUAUGAAUAAGGAUCGGCUAACUCCGUGCCAGCAGCCGCGGUAAUACAGAGGACCCGAGCGUUAUCCGGAUUUAUUGGGUUUAAAGGGAGCGUAGGUGGAUUGUUAAGUCAGUUGUGAAAGUUUGCGGCUCAACCGUAAAAUUGCAGUUGAAACUGGCAGUCUUGAGUACAGUAGAGGUGGGCGGAAUUCGUGGUGUAGCGGUGAAAUGCUUAGAUAUCACGAAGAACUCCGAUUGCGAAGGCAGUUCACUGGACUGCAACUGACACUGAGGCUCGAAAGUGUGGGUAUCAAACAGGAUUAGAUACCCGUGUAGUC
rnacentral:rRNA from 1 species